rnacentral:pre_miRNA from 1 species
GGGUAAUCUGCAUCCUGAGGUUUAAAAGCUAACUUACCAAGAAAAUAUGCUUACGUGUUAGUAUAGCUUUUAGUCCUCGGGAUGCGGAUUACCU